CUCAUGGUAAGGGAACAUAAAUUAGAGGCCACAGGAUUAACGUGAGAGAAGGAAGAUUUAAAGGGGACUUGAGAAGCAACUUCUUCACACAGAUGGUGGUGAAUCCAUCACAACCCUUUUGACUGGUACCAUUGGAAUGAUGCGAAGUGAACCAGCACAUGGAAGAGUUGAGGUGAAGGGAACAGAUCGAUUUAAGGGGAAGAAAGGAGCUACCUGACCUGCUGAGUAUUUCCAGAUUUUCCAUUUUAAUUUAGCACUGUUGCCAUGGAGACAAGAGGAAGGAGAUUCCAUUCUAUCCAUGCCAGUCUGAA